CAAGCAAGUCGUUCUAUCGCUUCCCUUUGUGGAAGAGGAAAGUCCGGGCAACAUAGAGUAUCCUGCUUCCUAACGGGAAGGACUCACUUCGGUGAGGCCGGAAAGUGCAACAGAAAAUAACUACCCCUUCGGGGGAAAAGGUGAAAACGUGAGGUAAGAGCUCACGACAAUGCAUGGUGACAUGUAUUGUGGAAAACCCCAGGAGUUGAAAGACCAAAUAGGUUCUGAACGUGAAGUGGCUCGCUUCCUUGUACCGUACAACCGGUGCUUUCAGAAUGGGUAGGUCGUUUGAUCGUGCUAGUGAUAACACGACUAGAUAAAUGAUAGAAGUUUCUUCAUUAGAAGAAAUACAGAACCCGGCUUAUAGGCUUGCUUUUUUC
rnacentral:RNase_P_RNA from 1 species